UCCCCAAGAGGCUUUUAUUGACAUUGCAAGUAAAGAUUGGCUCUUUAAGGGAAGCAUACCCUUCCAGUCAAAGUCUUGGUAAAAUAACUAGCUUUUUGAAUUGUGUCCUGUUGAAAAAGAAAAAUGGAUUCUUAUUGCACAGAUGCAAACAACUAUAUUUCCACAAAUUAAGAGUAUUCACAGGCAGUUUUCAACUUCUUGAGGAACCAGGCAGACAGAAACAAACAUGCUCCAAAUUUUGUUUGCUGGAGUAUACCUUACUCAAUUAUUAAAGGCCAUAAAUAGUUCAAAAUAAGUUUACUUAACUCUGAAAAACAAAACAAGGAUCAGCAAUAUUCCAAGUAAAAGUCAAAAAGAUUGCUUUAACUUUCCCAGUGUAGUCCAUUUAGUUAACUCUUGUAUUGCUUGACAUUCAUGAACAUUUCAGUUCUUCAUGAGUCCCACACAUUCUUUCUCUAUUCCAAUGUUACAAUCUUCAAGGCUAUUAAAAACUCACAUUUGAGAACACCUGCUAAAGUUUUAUAGCUUGAUUAUAACCCACCCUUUAAAAAAGAAGGAACAAAGCAAAACAAAAUGAUCUUUGAAUGGCAAAUUUUCUAGGAUAGUUACAGUUAAAAAUAUGACUGACAGGAUGGGUGCGGUGGCUUACGCCUGUAAUCCCACCAGUAAAUGAUUUUAGUUAUGUACCAGCUUAAAUAUUAAAGUCACAUGAACUAAAAAAUAUUUAAGUGUUUAUUUUUUCUUUAAGUCAAUCUGAGCUCUUUUUAUAGACAUCACACACAACACAUACACAGCAACACAGACAGAAGAUUCAGCACUUGUAAGAUUUUUUACACUUUCAUAACUGGAUUACUGGCUUCAGGGUGGAGCUCUUGGAGGAAUAGGGCCAGGAUGGCACACAUUUUUAGGGCCUAAUAAGCAAGCACAGCUAAAGGCAAAGACAGAUCUGGAAAAUUAAGGGUGCCUUUUUAUGCUGGAUUUUGGAUCCCCAAAAGGAGGGAGAGCCAUCUCUCAAAAUGUAUUUCUUACCUAAUUAUUACACACCAGCGUUCUCUCCUAAUGUGAAGUAAUUUGAUACCCCCAAAACUCAAAAUGGCCAGAUAACACAAUGCGAAACAGAACAGAGCCUUUGAUUUUGACAGGGAACUAUCUGCUUUUAAUUCCUGGGGUUUCAUGAGGAAAACAGGCGGGAUUUUUUCCAAAACAAUGUCUGUGGCACCUUCUCUGUUUUCCCACGGAGUUCCAUGCUACCAGAAGUUGUCUUAGGGCCUCUUAUGUGUGCUUUAAGAGUGGCGAGACAAAAAAUGGAGAAAAAUAAUUCAGUAGACUGAGAAUAAAAAAAACCUUUUUCCAGAAAAACAAGAUCUGAGAAAAACAUAAAGGCCUUUUAAAUAUACCUAUAACUUGAAUAUCCACUUUUAAUUAAGCUGAGUUCUCUUUAAGGAAAUCCUUUUAAAUCCCUUGUUACUCUACUUUAGCCAUGCCAAGCAGUUAAGAUUUUUCAGCUUUUGAACUUUGCAAAAAGUAACCUCACAGGUGAAACCUUAAUUAGGUUAUGAUUAACCAUAUGUGUACAAGAUAUUUUCAAAGUGGGUGAUAGGCAAUGUUUGAAACCAUCAUUGCAAAAUUGUCACUGAGACAGUGAGAGAUUCAACCCAACCAACUCCAUUUUGUUUCCAGCCCCUAAGCUAUCCUUGCCCAUCCCUGGAUGGAGGCCAAACCAACUUCAGGAGGAGCCUGAUUUACAGUUUAUACUCUAAAACAAAGAUGAUAACAGCCACUUCUUAAGAUAUACUUCCUUCCUGCCUGGGGACCAGACCAAGAAACUAGACACAAGAUUAAAAACCAGGGCCCAGGAGCCAAGCAGCUGGAGGCUACAAAACUCUGAUCCUCCCUCAGCUGCUCUCAAGAUCACUGCUUAAGGUAUUUUGUAAGCCCUACCCUUGAUGGAUUAGUUGGCACCACCCAACUCGAUAAACUGUCUUAUCAGAUUUUGUGGUCUUCACCCAGGAACUGACUUAGCACAAGAAGACAGCCACCAUUUAAAAUGGCAGAGGCUAAAACAAAUAAUUCCCACAUGGUUACAGGUCAUGUUCCCAAGGACUUGAAACAAGAUGGAGGCCUGUAGCCAAGUUUGUUACUAUUUUGUUGAGCUGGCUUGAACAGCAGCCUU
ensembl:lncRNA